AAAAAUCUCUGACUCAGUCUGAGGUAGUGUUAUAAGUGUAUGUGACUAUUGAUCUCUCUGUGGAUGUAGGAUUUGUUUAAAAUGACUCGUCCCUUCGCCGUAUUUUUAUACUGUUUAUCUAUAUUUAUAAUCACUGCAGUUCUGAGUGAUAGUGCCUCCAACCCUGGCACUGAGAAGUCAAGUUUUGAAGACAAGCGAUGUAAAUGCGUAUGUCCCAAUGUUGCACCUAAUGGAACCAUCUUGGGCAAAAGUAAAACUUGGAUCAAGGAUGACCUGGACCCCACAAGCUGUGAUUGUAAUCAUGUUCUAGAAGAAAAUGCCAGUGGUGAAGUGUGUGCUCUCUGUGAAUGUCAGUAUGAGAGCAGGAAUACUACAGCUAUUAAGGUUGUGGUGAUUUUCAUCAUCUGUGUGGUGUCCCUACUCUUUAUCUACAUAUGUGUUUUCUGCUCUGUCUGGAUCCCCUGAUCACCAAGCGGCCGCGGACCCAGUACCAGCAGCAGGUUAACGAGGAGGACAACUUAGCGUCUGAGGCCCAGAGACCGUCCACAGUGAGACAGCGGCCUGACAUGGGUCGCCAGAGAUCCGUCAUUAACCAGGUGACCGACGUACAGAAGAGGUGGAAGGACACCGUACAGGAGCAGAGGAAGCAGAUCUACGACAAUCACUCCCUGCUAAACUAAACAGAGGGAGACAUUUACCAACUCUCCCUCAGCCUAACAGAAACUAUCUAGGGUUCUCUACAACGCUAGGCCUACUGGAGGCUGCUCAUUACUAUAACGUCCUUGUGACAAAUAAUUCAGAGGGACGAUUCUGUGUUCAUGGGCAAUUCUGUGUCCACUGACGAAAAGGAACACAUUCCUUGAUCUGAGGAAUUACUGUAUUUAUGUAUAUUUGUAUAAAUGAAACACAGAUUUCUCUGAUGUUUGAUUAACUUGCAUGCUUGUAUUCUUUAUUGAUUUAGGCUGCAGUUUAAGAAAAGCCUUGAUACUGUGGAAUCAUUUUAAUUUGUAGGGGUCAAUGUUCAUGGGUAUCCAAAAGUUUGUGGGUUCAAAAAUAGUUAAGUUGGUAGAAAGUUCUAUUUUGUAAAUAGAUAUUGAACAAAUUCUUGUAUAUACGUUCAUGGGGAUUUAAAAUCCUAGGUAAGGGUUACCUAUGAAAGCCACCAAAAUUGGUCCCCAAUGAAAAAUGAUGAUUUCACAGUAACUAAUUUGAUUUCAGUCUCAUUGAAUGAUGUGCACAAUUUAUACAAAACUAUUAAUUACCAUGUAAUUAUAUGAGCAUAUUUUAUCAGUUCUAAAUUGUUUUCAAUUUGUAGGUAAUACAUGGAGAAAAAAAUUCAAUAAAUUUAAGUCUGAUCAGUCAAAUCGAGGAAAUAAUGCAGCUUUUGUUUACUUGAGAUGUGAAUCCUAUAUAUAGGGAAGGUAUAAGCUAAGUUUGUAUGAUAUAUUUGUGUCAUUUCAUUGCUCUUUGUCUAAUAUAUUGCAUCGUACACAAAAUGUCAACUUGUAUGUAUUACUGAUAGUAUUGACCUAUGUCAUGCAGCAGUCUCGUUCAAUUUGAGAAGGAGAGGGGUCUUUUAAUCGCUAACAUUUCACUUAAUAUGACCUAACAAAUACUCAGAGGAAGAGAGUUAUUUAGUUUUCCUUUGAAGGUUAUUCCAGAUCCUUAUAUGGUGAAAAGCUUAUAAUGUUACUGAGUUCAUAACUCAGAACUGUGUGGUUUAUGAAUUACAUGAAUUGUUAUGUGUUUGCAUGCUGAUGAUAUUUAUUUUAAUUUGUUAUUGUAGGAGGCUCCAUUUCUAAAGAACAAAACUAUUUAUGUUUAUUUAUUAUGGCGUUUUUUAAAUAAAAUUAAAAAUUAAAGUGUAUAGAC
rnacentral:misc_RNA from 1 species